GAAAGUAAUCUGUUGGUCGGUACAACUUCGGAUUCUGGAACCAAAACAAAACUAAAAGCACAAGCAACAACCCAUUUCGAUUAAUUACAAAAGAGAUCUAAACAAAGACGACGAACUAACUUUCCAGUUCUCACAAAAAGCUGGCUUCAGAUAUCUGGAAACGUCUAUUCCCGCGACGAUCACGAUCCAGAAUCAGAAGGCCAAUCAUCCCCCAAAUCCAAAUUCACCCAUUUCCAUUUUCAUUUCCAAUGGAGAUCAACCUGUUCAGGCUCUGCUCCGGCCUCAAAGUCCUUGGCUACUUCAUGAUCCUCCUCGUCGCCGCCAUCAUCGCCGUCUCCUACCACUCUGUCGUCGUCCUCGUCUGCGGGCCCCAGCUCCUCCGCGGCGGCCUCCGCUCCUUCUUCGCCUUCUCUGUCGUCAUCGUUUUCCAUGUUCUGCUUAUAUUGUUAUUGUGGAGUUACUUUAUGGUAGUAUUUAAAGACCCUGGUGCUGUCCCUGAGAAUUGGAAACCUGUUGUGGAUGAAGAAAAUUUGGAGGCUGGUACUUCUACAACAUGUUCGUAUCAUUUACCACCUGAGGGUUUGUCUUCAACUCAGCCUCUAGAUGAACCGGAAAGAAGACCACCAAUAGGAUAUUGUACUCGGUGCCAAAACGGAAAGCCACCACGCUGUCACCACUGUUCUGUUUGCCAAAGAUGCGUGCUUAAGAUGGAUCACCAUUGCGUUUGGGUGGUGAAUUGUGUAGGAGUGCGCAACUAUAAGUUUUUUCUUCUUUUCCUGCUUUAUACAUUCCUGGAGACGACGCUGGAUACUUUAAUUUUGCUGCCCCAUUUUAUCAAUUUCUUUGGUGAAGCCAAGAAUCGUUCCACUUCUCCUGGAAACCUUGCUAUUGUUUUUAUGGCUUUUGUUCUUAAUUUGGCCUUUGCACUGAGUCUUCUUUGUUUCAUUGUUAUGCAUGCGUCCCUUCUUUCGAGCAACACCACGUCCGUGGAGGUUUAUGAGAAGAAAAGAGUCGUCAGAUGGCAAUAUGACCUUGGAAGGAAGAAGAACUUUGAACAGGUUUUCGGCACAAAGAAGACGCUUUGGUUCUUCCCGUUGUUCUCAAAAGAUGAUUUAGACAACAUACCGGCACUUCAUGGCUUAGAGUUUCCAACGCGUGCUGAUGUCGAGACUUGAGGCUUGCAAGCUUAUAACAAAUACAACUUUAUGUUCCCUAAUCGGCAUUAAUCAGUCUCACAAGCAUCUUGACGCUCUUUGGCUGAAGAAAAUUAAAGUAAGCUAACUUUAUAGAUAUCUGGACUAUUUAUCCUAUGUGAUAUUAACUUUGUUAUGAAACAUGGCAAGUUCUUUCUGGGAGGCCUCUGAUUUUAUGCCUAAACACUUCUUUAUCAUAAUUUAUUCAGGUUCCGGACCAUGAUUAUAAAAUUAUUGAUCGUUUAUUAUGAGGU